rnacentral:rRNA from 1 species
GCGAGCGAACGGGGAGGAGCCCAGAGCCUGAAUCAGCAUGUGUGUUAGUGGAAGCGUCUGGAAAGGCGCGCGAUACAGGGUGACAGCCCCGUACACAAAAGCGCAUGUGCUGUGAGCUCGAUGAGUAGGGCGGGACACGUGGUAUCCUGUCUGAAUAUGGGGGGACCAUCCUCCAAGGCUAAAUACUCCUGACUGACCGAUAGUGAACCAGUACCGUGAGGGAAAGGCGAAAAGAACCCCGGCGAGGGGAGUGAAAAAGAACCUGAAACCGUGUACGUACAAGCAGUGGGAGCACAGGUUUACCUGUGUGACUGCGUACCUUUUGUAUAAUGGGUCAGCGACUUAUAUUCUGUAGCAAGGUUAACCGUAUAGGGGAGCCGAAGGGAAACCGAGUCUUAACCGGGCGUUAAGUUGCAGGGUAUAGACCCGAAACCCGGUGAUCUAGCCAUGGGCAGGUUGAAGGUUGGGUAACACUAACUGGAGGACCGAACCGACUAAUGUUGAAAAAUUAGCGGAUGACCUGUGGCUGGGGGUGAAAGGCCAAUCAAACCGGGAGAUAGCUGGUUCUCCCCGAAAGCUAUUUAGGUAGCGCCUCGUGAACUCAUCUCCGGGGGUAGAGCACUGUUUCGGCUAGGGGGCCAUCCCGGCUUACCAACCCGAUGCAAACUGCGAAUACCGGAGAAUGUUAUCACGGGAGACACACGGCGGGUGCUAACGUCCGUCGUGAAGAGGGAAACAACCCAGACCGCCAGCUAAGGUCCCAAAGUCAUGGUUAAGUGGGAAACGAUGUGGGAAGGCCCAGACAGCCAGGAUGUUGGCUUAGAAGCAGCCAUCAUUUAAAGAAAGCGUAAUAGCUCACUGGUCGAGUCGGCCUGCGCGGAAGAUGUAACGGGGCUAAACCAUGCACCGAAGCUGCGGCAGCGACAUUUAGGUGUUGUUGGGUAGGGGAGCGUUCUGUAAGCCUGUGAAGGUGGCCUGUGAGGGUUGCUGGAGGUAUCAGAAGUGCGAAUGCUGACAUAAGUAACGAUAAAGCGGGUGAAAAGCCCGCUCGCCGGAAGACCAAGGGUUCCUGUCCAACGUUAAUCGGGGCAGGGUGAGUCGACCCCUAAGGCGAGGCCGAAAGGCGUAGUCGAUGGGAAACGGGUUAAUAUUCCCGUACUUGGUGUUACUGCGAAGGGGGGACGGAGAAGGCUAUGUUGGCCGGGCGACGGUUGUCCCGGUUUAAGCGUGUAGGUGUGUGUUCCAGGUAAAUCCGGUUCACUUUAACACUGAGGCGUGAUGACGAGGCACUACGGUGCUGAAGCAACAAAUGCCCUGCUUCCAGGAAAAGCCUCUAAGCAUCAGGUAACAUCAAAUCGUACCCCAAACCGACACAGGUGGUCAGGUAGAGAAUACCAAGGCGCUUGAGAGAACUCGGGUGAAGGAACUAGGCAAAAUGGUGCCGUAACUUCGGGAGAAGGCACGCUGACACGUAGGUGAAGUGAUUUACUCAUGGAGCUGAAGUCAGUCGAAGAUACCAGCUGGCUGCAACUGUUUAUUAAAAACACAGCACUGUGCAAACACGAAAGUGGACGUAUACGGUGUGACGCCUGCCCGGUGCCGGAAGGUUAAUUGAUGGGGUCAGCGCAAGCGAAGCUCCUGAUCGAAGCCCCGGUAAACGGCGGCCGUAACUAUAACGGUCCUAAGGUAGCGAAAUUCCUUGUCGGGUAAGUUCCGACCUGCACGAAUGGCGUAAUGAUGGCCAGGCUGUCUCCACCCGAGACUCAGUGAAAUUGAACUCGCUGUGAAGAUGCAGUGUACCCGCGGCAAGACGGAAAGACCCCGUGAACCUUUACUAUAGCUUGACACUGAACAUUGAGCCUUGAUGUGUAG